rnacentral:rRNA from 1 species
UACGAAGGGGGCUAGCGUUGCUCGGAAUCACUGGGCGUAAAGCGCACGUAGGCGGGUUGUUACGUCGGGGGUGAAAUCCUGGAGCUCAACUCCAGAACUGCCUUCGAUACUGGCGACCUUGAGUCCGGGAGAGGUGAGUGGAACUCCGAGUGUAGAGGUGAAAUUCGUAGAUAUUCGGAAGAACACCAGUGGCGAAGGCGGCGCACUGGCCCGGUACUGACGCUGAGGUGCGAAAGCGUGGGGAGCAAACAGG